rnacentral:lncRNA from 1 species
AUGCAGAAGGAGUCGAAGACGGAGAAGGACGUGAGCGAUACGUCCAUCUCGAUCGACGAGAAGACGGAGACGCACACGAAUGAGUACAACCUGAUCGAGAACGAGGACUCCUCGGAGUCGGUAACGCACUCUCUCGGCACGAAGUUGAACUUCAGCGAGGUGCUCAACCCGGAGAAGGAGGUGACCGAGGCCGUGAACCAGAGGCUGUCUUCGCUCGUGCGGGGGAUCUCCGAGGACGAGAUGCCGACCACCGUCCUCGAGUUGACCAAAGACUACGUCAACGGGGUUGACGUCUGGCGGGAAGACAAUAAUUUAACCAAGGAUCUAGGCAACGAAUAUAUUGAGCGCGUCAAGUUAAAAGCGGAAGACCUCGUAAACGAAAUCUGCGCCAAGGCCGAGACGGUCAACCAGAACGGACUCGCCAAGGACAUUGUAACUAGUGUAAAUUUCGCCAAAGCCAAUAGUGUAGACUCCUAUCGCCCACCGCUGGCCGAGACCAAACUCAAGACGUCGAUGACGUCAUCCUUCGAGGACGCACUUCUCAACGUCAACUUCGGCGAGGGAGCGGAAGCCCCCACCUUCUGUCCCCGCCUCAGCACGAUAGGCUCUGAACUAGAACUUAAGGUAAGACAAUUUUAAAGGAAUCGUAGUCAAGGUUGUUUCCACGUUGAAAAUUUGUGAAGGGGUGAGAUGAUAUGCUUUUCUCAGUUUUUUCUUUUCUUCUUGUUAAUUUUCGUAAGAUAAUCGAUUAAAAAGGCCAAAAUAUGAAAUUUAGCAAGAUAAAAACAGUAUACAGUGUGGUCACAACUGUAUGCAACACGGUGGUAAAAUAUUGCUGGAUCCAAAAUAUUUUUCGGGGAAAGCAAGGCGAGAAAGUGCAAGAAUUUCAAUUAGAGUCAAAAGUUUUGAGCCCUAAUGCGAAAUUACCGAUUAUAGGUACAGUUUUGACUGUAGUUAAAAUUUGUGAACUUUCCGGCCUUGCUUUCCCCGCAAAAUAAUGUGUAUCGCAGCACUAUUUUAUCACCUUGUUAUGAAAUUUACCUCUAUGCGUAAUGAUGCGUAAUGCGUAAAUGAUAUUAUUCUUUAACCCACCUUGUUCACACGGGACGUUUUAUGGGAUUUGUCCCAAGCUCGUAUAGCAGGAAUGAAACUUCUGGGUUUUUCUCCCGCUAUACAAAACAAUAAAUUUUCUUCUCUCCUCUCUAAGUCACCUCUAGGACUUCACAAGGACUCUACUUGGUACUGUGAUUAGCACUGGCUAACUCAAUAUAUUUCCCAACUUCGCAAUAGAGAUUUCUCCCCUGAAACGCCCCAUGGAGACAAGGCCCUAAACUUUACAACGAGCUAUCUCAUUGUUUUUCUAAAAAGGAAAAUUUCCAUUCUGCUGAACUUGAUCCACUACACGUGACGUAUAAUGUGACGUACUCUGACUUGCAGGUGGCAGAGGAGCUCUCGCCGGUGGACAAGAGUGGCUCGAGUUUCUCCGACGGGGACCUGAGUCCGGACCCGAAGGGGCUCUCGGACAGUGUGAUAGAGACGAUCAAGGUGGAGAUCGCGGAGAUCUGCGAGGAGGCGGCCGACCGGGCAGCCCAGCUGCUCGCCGAGAAGGCCGCCGAGGAGACCGAGUCCGACUCGAACGAGAUCUCCGAGAACGGGACCUCGACCAACAACCCGAGCAUAUCCUUCUCCGACGACACCCAGAUCAUCGAGUCCAGCAUCCACGCCCCGGUCGACGAGAAGCUCGCCUCCGCCGCCACCACCAUCCAGGCCUCCUUUCGGGGCUACCAAGUCCGCAAGGCUCACAAAAAACAGGUAAGUCCCACGAUCUGUCCAUUUUACACAUGGCGACUUUGCAGGUGUCUGCAAUUUGAUGGCUUGUAUUUAACUGGAAACUGUGGAGUAAACUAAACACCAGGAUACCCAUGCUGCCCUGUAAAGGAAAAACGCCGUGUAAAGGAAGUGGUGUACAUCGGAGUAGGUUCGACACCAAGUAAAUCUUACUAUUCAACGACUGAAGCGCGCACCUUGGUACCAUGCUAUACGCGCAAUGCUUGAAGUAUCCAGCAGACUUGUAAGGCGCUACUAUGCGUCGGGCCAGCACCGUGCGGUACGCGCAAUGCAUGCAGUAUC